UGGGGAAUCUUCCGCAAUGGACGAAAGUCUGACGGAGCAACGCCGCGUGAGUGAUGACGGCCUUCGGGUUGUAAAGCUCUGUUAAUCGGGACGAAUGGUUCUUGUGCGAAUAGUGCAAGGAUUUGACGGUACCGGAAUAGAAAGCCACGGCUAACUACGUGCCAGCAGCCGCGGUAAUACGUAGGUGGCAAGCGUUGUCCGGAAUUAUUGGGCGUAAAGCGCGCGCAGGCGGAUUGGUUAGUCUGUCUUAAAAGUUCGGGGCUUAUCCCCGUGAUGGGAUGGAAACUGCCAAUCUAGAGUAUCGGAGAGGAAAGUGGAAUUCCUAGUGUAGCGGUGAAAUGCGUAGAUAUUAGGAAGAACACCAGUGGCGAAGGCGACUUUCUGGACGAAAACUGACGCUGAGGCGCGAAAGCCAGGGGAGCGAACGGG
rnacentral:rRNA from 1 species